CUGGAGGAUUGAGGAAAACACCAUACAAUCAAGCAGCAUCAGACACCAGGAGGAUCCGGUGGUGUGCGUAAGCUAGAAAUGUCGGCUCAGAAGGCACUGACUAUAGCAAACAUUGGAACUGUUAUCCGUUGGAGGGAAAUCAAAUAGUGAAUGCCGAAGGAGUAAAUUGAGAACCAUGACCAUUGCUGCAUAAGGCUGAGUCAGUUUGGUGAUUUCUAGAAGGACAUCUAAAAUUUCUUUCUGAGAGGCAGAGUUGUGGCAGGGAUGAUCCAUUAAAAAAGAUAUUGAAAUUUACCACUGGAAUAAUACAAUUUGGAACCAUUUUUUGCUAUUCACAUUGAUUGAACAUAAGGCUAUACUAUUCUUCAUAUCAGCAAGUACCAAAUGUAGGUUAAAUUUCUAUCUUAAGAUGAGAGUAUAUGUGAUCCAUUGACUUCAACAGAAGCUCCAUACAUGUAUCCAAAGGUAGAAUUGAGCCUUCAUGGACCAAACUGUUGGACUUUGUCUGAAGUGUGACCAUACAAAACAUGCAUUUCUUUAUGCAAAGUCCCAUUGUGUGUGGCUGCAUAUCUAACUACCUCGUUUGCACGUGAAAAGGCUCCCAGGCAUAUUUUCAACAAUCUGAAGGCCUUGAAAGUUUGAUGCUAUGUCUUUGAAGCCCUUUAUAAUUUACCUAAAAUCUUGAAACCGGAAAAAAAAACCUGCAAGAAAAAAUGUGAACAAUGGGAGGAAAUAACUCCAACCACAAGAACUCCCAGAAACAGAAAAACAAUCAGAUGCAGCCAGGGAAACAAGUACUGGGAAGAAAAAGUCCGGCUGUCAGAAAGCCAGUCUGGUAGAGAAAAAUCUUUGCAGAAACCAGCAGGUUGACAAUACUAUGGCACUGGUUGCAGUUCUCUUUUUGAUACAAACUGUCUAUAGUGUUGGCAUGAAAUUCAAAAUUGCUUUUGUGCCUAUGAUUGUCUCACUGGACUGAAUCAAUCAAUCACAGUUGCACAAAGAAGGGUUUCCUGUUCCAAGCUGUUCGCUCUGCUAGAAGCUGCCAAGCCAUCAUCUGAAAAAUAUUUUAAAAUACAGAGAAAGUUGCAUUCACUGCUCUCCCAGGAUAAUGGCAUUUCCCACCCUAUGCCACCUGCUACAGGACAAUGGCUUACACACACACGCUGUUCCCAGACUUUCUGGGCUUGAUCCUCAGCUGGCAUGUAUUGGCAAAGCUCCAUUGACUGUAUUAUACAAGCUGAUCGAAGUUAGCUGUAUCUACCUUCACUUGAAGCUCUACAAACUGUUUCUCUUCUCCAGUAUUGUGUUCAUUUACUUCUAUUGCGGAGGCAGUGGUAUUGCCAACAUUCUGAUUGCAGAAAACCAAACACCCUUGCCCUGUCCCCUACCCUGCUCCUUCCCCAAGGCCCUGUCCCCCGCUAACUCCACCACUCCUCUCUCCAUCACUCACUCGCUCAUUUUUUCACUGGGCUGGG